AAAAUGAUUCCUUGAAUUGGCAAUCGCUUCAAUGUAGUACUCCCUCCGUCCCGCAAUAAGUGACUCAAAAAUGACUCAACUUUGUACUCCUUCCUUCAAUUGGAGUAUAUGUUUUCUUUUCUCAUAGGAAAGGAGAGUGCUUUAAUUUUUUACAGAACAAAAUUGAGAUUGAUUUAUUCUUUAGUUAAAAUUGGUGCCACGAAUAUGUUUCAUGGAAUCUGAGAAUUGUUCCAAACGUAUCGAUAAAGUACUUCCAAUAUAGUAAAAAUUGGCAGUCUAAGGAUUUUGCAUUGAACCUCUUUUAAAAUGGUGAUGAAAGACCACACAUGUUGAAGAUAAGUUUGGCCUUAAUCUAAUCGAGAAACAACUGUUUUUCAUACCAGACAAGCAACUACUCCUCUCCGAGUCAAUGUGCCACACCAUUCACUCACCGGUGUAAUCCAUACACAUGUUCAGUACCUUUUGAAUUUUAUGCUCCCGCUUCUCCAUGUGUCAACCCCUUUGUUCCUUGUUGACCCUAGCUUGUCUUGAUGCAACAUCAAGCAACAACAAAAUAUUACACCUGAUACGACAUCAAGCUAUACAGGAACUAUUAGACCACCCAAAUUAUUGAAGCUUCAGAAUUUGUGUCUGGGUCCAUGCCUAAUAAACUGGAAGAAAACCAAAAGAUACUUAUUGAUAUGAAUCAACUUGGUUAAGUAUGGUCAAAUACAAUGCACGGUGGAAUAUCUGCCCUGGAAAACAAAAGAAAAGGAGAUGGAAGAAAUCAUGCACUCAAUGGGUGGCUGUAAGUUCACGGGUAUCAAGACUUGGCUCACAUAUCAUUGAUCAUGGGUCUGUGUCAAUAUGGCUCCGGUGCCCAGUUUAUCACGGUGUUUUGUUAUUAUUUCCGAGAUAGUACUUUCUAUUAUAGUGUUGAGAUAAGCAAUUUAGAUGUUUUAAAUAUUCCCAGCUCUUUGGAUAAGAAGUAUUUCAGUAACUGAAUAAUCUUUGACCGUCCAAAAGAACUACCAUGUUUCUUUGGGAAUAACAGCAGAACAAAAAAAUCGAGAAUCAUGGCUGACCUAUGAGGCGCAGAUGUUGCCGAGGACCUAUAACCAUGCCUCCUCUCCUUUGCGCAACCUUGAAACCACGAGUAAUUACCUGGCAUUAUUUCAUUAUCUCAGCUGGUUUUAUGACUUCGAACAUAUGAGAGUACUCUAACAUGUAAAAUAAUUCUUUCUCAGGUUCCAAAUAAGUCAACAGUAGGUCAAAAAUAGAGGUGAAACAUUGCCAGGCAGGCAGACACACAACAACAGCCGAUGAUUAUAGCUUAAGGUCCAAUGAGGAUAAUAUAAGUAGUGGAAAACGGAAUUUUGUAUCCACAUCCCUAUUGAUCAAGGAGUAAGUCAACAUGAUACAAGGAACGUACAACAACACACCCGAGACAAUAUAAUUACAACACUGCAGAAAAAUUAGAGAUCCAUGUAAUCAAAUAUCUCUUUGUUAAAUUUUAGCUGAACAACUUAACUUAUAGAGUGUCGAUGGUUCAGAUCUUUUUCCUUUUAAUUAACAUGUGAGUUAUUAUAAAGUGGGUAAUUUCUUUUUGCGGUAUAUAAAGUGGGUAACUCAUAUAGACUAAGACAUGGAAAAAGGGUGUAGGUGGUGCAAAUUCAUAGCAAGUUUUAUAUUGGAUGCACACAAACAACUGUGUGGACACACAAAAAGAAAACAAUCACUUUGAAAGUUUGAAUAGAAAUGUCUAAAUGAACAUCAGAUGGUCUAGUAUCUCCACUGAGAGCACUACAUGGACCCCUCAUUAACAAUUUAGCAAUGAACAAACAAUUCUAGUAUUUAGACAUGAGAAUACCUUGUACAGAAUUUCAAAGCCAUAAAAAACGUUACCACUGGUUUGGGUAUCCUGGAAAUAGAACAGAGGUAAUAAAUUCCUUAUAACUAAUCAGGUGAACAUAGAAAAUUGAUUACCUCUGGUUUGAUCCCAUGUGCUCUAGCCAAAAAUAGAUCAAAUCAGCAGGAUAUCCUAUAAGGAAACAAAUCUAGCAAGGAAACUGAUUAUUAUUAUAUCUAAUUUCCAGCUACCAGUGGUAGGCGCAAAGUGGAACACUAUUACGUAGGACAACAAAUUUGGGCAGGAGGAUGUAUAAUGGUUAUGAAUGCCAGGCAAAGUGUAUUAAGUUCAUAACUAUGAGCAUGCAAAUAAUUUAUAUGAAGGGUCCCUUUUCUUCUGCAUAAGUGAGACAUACUGUAUGUAUGUGUAAUGUGUCAACCUGUACACAAAUACAAAAUAUAUAUUACAACGGAAAAUGCGUGAAUAUGAUGAUGAAUAUCUUAUUCUGAACUCUUUUGCAUCUUGUAUAAUGGACAGGGAUUGAGAUUCUAAUUUCGGCACUACUGGAGAGUAUGUUGUGUGCAAAACGAAACUACAUGCAGUAAUCUACAUGAUUGUUCGUACCAACAGAGAAACAAUUUUGCAUUUAGUAGAUGUGUGUAUGUUUCAGGGUUACUUUCACAAUAUUUAGUUGCUAUAGAAAAAACACUUAAGGCUAGCAAAUAGAAUUAACCUAGUACAUAGAAAGUAGAGAACUGACCGCUGCAGUAAAUUAUGAACUGAUAUCACACAUAAAACAGUAACAUACCCCAAAAUCUAUUCCUCGCAGCUCCCCACAAGUCUUCCUUCGCCCUCUUCUGCUCCACCAACCCCUGUUAUGAUUUCUCUCCCCUUAAAUCAUUCUUCUUACUCUGCAUACCAUCUCUGUCUCCCCAGCCCAAACAUGCUAGUACCGUCAGUAGCGCGUCCGGCACCCCACGAAAGAAAACACAAUACAACCCACACAUGAAUAAUGAUGUAAACAUACGUGAAAUUAUGAACGCUCCAAGAAAAUCAUUCUGUAAAUAACUUGAAUGGUGUGUUGAUAUGCAGAAACAUCUACUUCUUUACAAGACAUUUACUUGUUUGGAUUGCAAAACAAAUAUUGUUGUAGGAAAUGAUCUAUUGGAAACUGGUACAAAACUUCAAACAUCUUUACUGCUGGACAUAGAACAAGCACACAACAUCCUGUAAUUAUUUAGUUGCAGACGUACAUGCAUGACAGCCAACAUAUAUAAAGUCUUGUGAUGAAUUGUGUUCAAUGGUGAAGAAACUUGCAGCGAAAUGUUUCCUAUUAAAUGACCUCCCAAACCCAAUGUUGGUUGGUCCACUCUACUAAGCUGUGCUAUGUCAAUAAUCAAAAGAAAUAUAUGCUUGUUUUACCACUGGCAAUCAUGAAAAGCCUACUGACUUUCGAAUAUAACUUUAUCUGAAGAUUAUGUUAUUUGCCCCGUCGACUUUGUUGCCUAGCUGGACAAUCAGUACUGCAGUUGCCUAGAUCCUACCCUCCUACGGACACUUAUGUUCUAAUCUGGAGAUGAGGUGAGUACAGGGGUCACCCAUGGAUAUAUUGUCUAGACGAUGAGAUAGCACAGGAGAUGAAGCAAUGUGUGUACCUAGACGCCGCACUGGUUGAGGCACUUGAUGGCGAUUGAUAAGCGCCUCCUGUUGCCGAUAAAAGCAAUUGUUCUUGACCUUCGUUUAGGAGAAUAUCCAGAGUCAAUGUGAAAGCAUACGACUACAUUUUCAAUAAAAUGGCUGAGAAAUAUUCAUGUUUUUAUGGAAGCACAACAUGCUCAGGAGGGUAAAACUAUCAAAUUAGAGCAAGGAUAAUUACAGGAAUCCAAUUUAAUAAAACACAUUUGAGAAAUUAAGGAGAUCAUCUCAAUACUGAAUUACGAGGGUGGGUGAUCCUCUAGGAUUCCAGAUCAAUAAACACAACGUGGUGCGUGGUACGUUCCCCCCGACUCAAGGGAAACAGUAGAUUGAUUAGAAAUUCAUUCUUGCUUCCUGUCGCAUUGUCCACCUGUCUUGUUUCCUCGCAGCUCCACCUUCCCCUGCAGCAAUAGCCAGGCCCUAAAACACCGAGCUCCGCUGCAUCUCAGCGGGAUAGAUAGAGAGAUCGGAUUGCAUCUCACAAGCACACUUUAAAACAUGAGUUGAUGGAUGGCAUCCGUAGCCGAACCCUAGUAACAAUUGUGUAUUAUUGAUUGGCACAAUCAGAACCUAACUAACAACCACCUUUCAGUGUCAGUAGAUCUAUAGAUGUUGCAUCCCACUUCACGUCCUAAGAUUGUCUACAAAAACUUCACGUCCAAGUGACAGAAGCACAAAGGCUUCCAUCAACAAAAUAAUUUUUUUCAUAACAAAAUCUCUGCUAUAAAGGAUGCAACUAUGACGAAGAUAUGCCUCUGUGUUUACCUUACAUCAUCAGAAGUUCAAAACUAAUGCUAGAUUUGUUUUUUAUAGAGAGAUGCUAGAUAUGAUAAUACAACAAUAGUAAAUGCCACAUGAUCCAUUUGUGCAACGUGUGCCCUCCAAUUCUUAUUUAAGUGCUGGAAUAAAAAGGGCAAAGCAGUGGGACAUCACCACCCACCCAUUAAAUUUUUUGGAUAUUAACAAUAUGACUUUAAGGGGGAAAAUCCUCACUGAACAGUAAGCUCCCAUUGCUAAUCAAAUAAAAAUAAUUGAUCAAAAUAUGCAGGUUUGGCCCCUAUCCCAAAGCUACUCCCUAAUGUGCCUUAGUGGAAUAUAGUCUGCCGCAAUCAAAAGAUGAAAUAAACAGCAGCGACAUUGCAUUAGGAAGGUUCGUUGCAUACAUACCAGAUGUACUCGGCGACGAACACGGUAGUCUCAAUGGCGAGGGCCAGAACCUUCAACCCAGAUGCUCCUCCCGACGCCCCACACCCUUGCUGCCGCCGACUUCGUGUGGAUGGCUUACUUGUCCUGCACCAUGAAUUGGGCACGACAAAGAUUUUACAUUUAGGAAAAAUUUUUACCAUAAUGUGAAAGCACUGUAAUUAUGUGGCAUAGAAGGACAUUGACUUUAUGCUUGCAGAUUUAUCACCUCUAGCAACGGUUGCCAAAUUGCCACAACGAUAGAGCCCCAACCAGAUUACUGAUCUAUCUUAACUCUCAAGUAUUAACUUAUUAAAUGUAAAAUUCAGAUGCAAGUGCAGUAGAUUUAUCACCUCUAGCAACGGUUGCCAAAUUGCCACAACGAUAGAGCCCCAACCAGAUUACUGAUCUAUCUUAACUCUCAAGUAUUAACUUAUUAAAUGUAAAAUUCAGAUGUAAGUGCAGUAGAUUACUGCAGUUUAGCACUAACUGUACAACCAACAAUUAAGAUUUCAGAGGGCAAGCACUGUAGAAUAGCAUAUGCUACCUUCACAUCGGGUCCAUGAGGUGUCGUGCAGCCACUGUGCGAAACCGACAGGCUCAGCCACGGUAUGGGGCACACUUAUCUUCAAAUCCCGACAAUCAACAUCGUCCCACACUGGAAGAUGCCAAGGCAAUUCUGAACCUGACGCCCUACUGUUCUUUAAUCUCUACAUCCCAAAUCAACUCUGGAUCAACCAAAACAAUAAAAAAACAUUAGUAAGUACUAAAAGGGAAAUUAAUGGCCGAAUUUGGAUAUUUCUGCAUGCAUCAGACAUGCAAAAGUACUGAUUCUAGGCACAUGAAUCGUACAUUUGGAUGCUUGGACGGACUGGUUGCAUCAAAGAUAAUUAAGCUCUCAGUGUUAGCAAGUAUAAUGCUUAAAUACUGGUAGAAUCAUGUUCCUCACGCAUGGUGUUGCAAUAUUGCUUUUGGCGUCUAGCUCAACCAAAACAGCCGAGAUGAGACAACAAGGAAGCGGGUCAGUGUUGUACCUCAAGGAUUUUCCUUCUGAACAAAUUCAGCAAAAUAGAUUACCUGGCAUAUAAUCACCCAGUCGCUCCCAAGGUCCAAAGGCACAGGAGACUGCGACCGGGACCUUCGCAAGAG
rnacentral:lncRNA from 1 species